CCGCGUGGGGGAUGAAGCAUCUCGGUGUGUAAACCCCUUUCGACCCGGAAGAAUGUCCCGCAAGGGAUUGACGGUACGGGUAUAAGAAGCCCCGGCUAACUACGUGC
rnacentral:rRNA from 1 species